UUAUUUUUUUUAUUUCUUUCCUUGUUUACAAGAAAAUAGAUAACUCGAGUGUUACAAACAAUAGUUUUUAAGGAAUAAUGUGAAAUAAGUUAGUUUUUAUAGGAUAGUAGAAAACUUAAUCAACAUGAUAACUUAAUAACAUUACCAGACACUAACUUAGAUGAUCCUGGAGCAAAGGCUGUAAUUUGACCUGAACCCAAAUUGGUCUCUAUUUGAAAUAUUGUCUUGAACCAAUAAGUUAAGAGGACUAAGUAACCUUUCUGGACGACAUUGCCAUCGACAUCACUGCAGAUGAGAGAGAAAGAGAGACCAGAGUUGUGGACCCUGGAGGCAAUUACCAUACUGCCGUGAUAAUGUUACUUGGUCUAACCAUAACUUAAGUGAGAACUGAAGCCUACCAGUAAAAUGGGGGCGUUGUAAUUAAUAUCCUCCGACAUUGAAGAAUACAGGGGAGAGGGGCAGAGGAAGAGGAGAUGGAGGAUGGGGAGAAGUAAAGACUAA